rnacentral:rRNA from 1 species
AUUGAACGCUGGCGGCAGGCCUAACACAUGCAAGUCGAGCGGAUGAAGGGAGCUUGCUCCUGGAUUCAGCGGCGGACGGGUGAGUAAUGCCUAGGAAUCUGCCUAGUAGUGGGGGAUAACGUCCGGAAACGGGCGCUAAUACCGCAUACGUCCUGAGGGAGAAAGUGGGGGAUCUUCGGACCUCACGCUAUCAGAUGAGCCCAGGUCGGAUUAGCUAGUUGGUGGGGUAAAGGCCUACCAAGGCGACGAUCCGUAACUGGUCUGAGAGGAUGAUCAGUCACACUGGAACUGAGACACGGUCCAGACUCCUACGGGAGGCAGCAGUGGGGAAUAUUGGACAAUGGGCGAAAGCCUGAUCCAGCCAUGCCGCGUGUGUGAAGAAGGUCUUCGGAUUGUAAAGCACUUUAAGUUGGGAGGAAGGGCAGUAAGUUAAUACCUUGCUGUUUUGACGUUACCAACAGAAUAAGCACCGGCUAACUUCGUG